AACGAACGCUGGCGGCAUGCCUAACACAUGCAAGUCGAACGGGAUCCUGGCUUCGGCCAGGUGAGAGUGGCGGACGGGUGAGUAACGCGUGGGAACCUGCCCAUUGGUCUGGGAUAACUGCGGGAAACUGCAGCUAAUACCGGAUGUACCCGAGAGGGGAAAGAUUUAUCGCCGAUGGAGGGCCCGCGUCAGAUUAGGUAGUUGGUGAGGUAACGGCUCACCAAGCCUACGAUCUGUAGCUGGUCUGAGAGGAUGAUCAGCCACACUGGGACUGAGAUACGGCCCAGACUCCUACGGGAGGCAGCAGU
rnacentral:rRNA from 1 species